GUUUGAGAUAAACGACAUAUUAUCAGAUUGACAGGCAGAACUGAGAACAGCAGUGUCGUUUCCAAAGUACAAGAGAAGCUCAAGUUUAUAAUUCCACAACUUAAAACAUGCAGGCUAUGCAGCUUAUUAAAACCAUAGUCCAUGAUAAAGAAAAGCUAAAUCAAUGCAGGAGCAUAACACCUUCACUUUCACAUCAUCCUAUACACCAUCAAUGGUGCGGAUCGGGGCGGUGGAAGUGGUUGUACGCCGCCUCGCCGGCGAGGUAGAUGCCGAAGGCGACGAGGGCGAUGCCGAGGCCCGGAGUGGCGUGGCGGAAGUUGUUGAUCAUCAUUGGGUGCUUCCGCCACUCAUCCCUCCUCCUGAAGAACUCCCCCGUCGGUCCCAGCGGCUUCGCCAUCACAGUCCUCUGAUCUCCGCUCUCACUGCUCGCCAAACCCUAAUCUGC
rnacentral:misc_RNA from 1 species